UUUAUUAAUAUAUUAAUACAAAUAAUAUAGAAUAAUAAUUAUUAAUUAUCAUUAGUAUCUUUAAUUAUUAUCAUUAAUUAUUAUUAUUAUUAUUAUUUUAUGAUUAUUAAUAUUAGUUAUUCAUAACUAUCAUUUAAAAAUAUCCAAAUACUAUUAUUAUUACUUAUCAUUAUAAUUAUUAUUUAAUAUUCAUAUUAUUAUUGUUUAAGUAUUAUUUAUAUAUUUAUUACAUUCAAUUUAAUUCAAUUCAGUUUAACUAAAUUCAGCUCAGUUCAGUUCAGUUCAGCUGUUUUAUGCCGAAGAUAACAUUCCCUAACUUGUCUUAUUUAUGGCGAAAAUUCACAAUGCUUAAGGUGGUUGAUUGAUUCAAUAUAUGCUUGAUUGAUAUAGUGUGAAUGAUUAAGUCAAUAACUUAUCCUCUAAAAAUAAAAGUCCGUAACUUAUUAAGUUACAUGUCUACCAUUUCUCAUUUCAUUUACCUCACUUUAUCUGCGAAGAUGAGUAUCAUUCCCAAUAUAUCAAUUAAGUAUUUUAUCUUCGUAGUUAUUGGUGUACCUCAAUAACAUAAAAUUUCUUUAAUUAUCCUAGCUUUGUAUUAUACUAUCCUAAAAAAAGCUUUUUAUUAUAGUACUCAGUAUUAGUAUUACAAAUAUAUAGUAAAACAAUUUCUCCUUUUCUCUCUCUAUUAUUUAGAAUGUCGUCCCGUUUUCUUUUCUCCAUAUAAUAUUUAGAAAUCCAUUUCCUAUUUCUUCAAUGAAGUUCACCAAAUGAUACGAACCUGAUUUCAAUCAAUCCACCAUCCUAGAUCUUCCAGAUUAUUCACCAAAAAAAUCUUUUUCUUAAUAUCUAAACCAAUUUUCUCAAUUGGGACUCUCUUAAGUCCAACUCAUUUUCAUUUGCACAACUAUAUUUUUCUCUGCUUUUUUUGUCGAACUUGAAGCCACCGGUACUUCCACCGGAGUUCUGCCACCAGCGAUCGGACAAUGGUUAAUUGUUGAGUGUUGCAUGUUCUUUUUCGCUCUACUCUAUUAUGUAUCUAUUGCUGGAAUACCCUUAUUUUGUGUGUGCAAUGGUGCCUCGAAAAUUUCUGCAUAAUAAUAUCGUAUAUAUAUAACUGCAGAAAGUUUUAAAAUCUCUUGCAUUUCUCUCGAGGAACACAAUCUAGCCUCUUUUUUUUGGUGUUGAACAAUCUUGUCCUUAAUCAAGACAUUUUAUACAAUCCAUUGAUUUGGCAAAUGAAAAGGGAAGUUAAAUAUAAUAAUUUUUUUCAACCAAAUCAAUCUUUCCUUGAUUUAAGGAACCAAAUUAUUACCUUAUCCAAUUACUUUUAAUUUCCAAAACUUAUAUGACCAUGGCACAUGCAUGGAUUGAUUCUGGAGUCUACCCAUCAGCAAAUUUAGAGAUAGAGACGACACGUGGUAUUGAAAAUGUGAGGAUAAUUGUGGAGACGACAUUUGGCGGAAUUGAUAUUAGCUUGACAAAUAAGCAUUAUGUACUUAGCUUUAUAUAUAUAUAUAGAUUAGUGUUUUGACCAAGUCAAAACACUAAAAACUACUUGAAAAGCUUGUGCCGAACACGCCCUAUGAAGAAGUUAAGAAGUACCUUCAAGAUGUGCUGCUCCAAAUGCAAUGCGGUAAUAGGCUUAUCAUGAUCAUGGAGAAGAUUCCAACAGAGAUCGCAAAGUAUCUGAUUUCAAAAGUGAUUAAUUCUGUAGCUACUGAUCAGAAAGAUUUGGUCGAAUAUGCAGAGGAGUUCUAUUAUGGAGGAUUAACUCAGGUGUGCUUUCAAAACUUUGUGAAAGCACAUGGCAAAUUUGAGGAUUGGAAGGCCUACCUUCAGGAAAGGGAAUAGGAGAUUGGUAAGAUGAACAGUGGAUGGAUAAAACUCAACUCGUCCAAAGUAAAAAAAGCAUAACAAAGAUAGCCUUGCACCAUCCAUUAGGAAGCAGUUUAGCAAGGAAAGGAACAAGAAUAGGGAGAUGUUAAGCCAAUUGGAGGCUGACCUGGAGAAAGAAAUGGACUACAUCUUCAAGAAAAUGUCUAAGUUUGUAUUUCUAGUUGGGUCUCUUAAGGAAGUCAACGCCAGGGCCGUAUUUGGGCAUGGGCGAGAGGGGCAGCUGUCCACGGUCCAAAACACAUAACCCAAAUAAGUAAAGGUAAAAGAGAAUAAAAGGAAAAAUAGAAAAAAAUGGUCCUUCUCCAAUGGAUGGUUGCAACUUUUUUUGGUUUUGCAAAAUUGAACUUUAUUUGUUAUUUCUUUAUUAAUCAUUUAAUUGUGCAUCUUUUCGAUUUUUUUUUUUUGGAUUUUCUGUUUGACAUAUUAAAUGAUCAAACUUUAUUUGUAAUUUCUUUAUUAAUCAUUCAAUCGUGCAUCUUUUUGAUUUUUUUUUGUUUUUGAGUUUUCUGAUUGACAUAUUAAAUGAUCAAGUACUUACAUCCUUAUUUUAACGUCUCUUUCAAAAAUUUCGGACCAAAAAAUUGUUUAUUUUUCGGUCUAGACCGAAAAAUAAAACAUUCAAAAAACUUGGACUUAAUUAGGUCCAUAAUAUGUAGGCUCGCCCUUGGGCCUCCAAAAUCUCAGAAACGGGGCUGGUCAAUUUUCUCAAAGAACAAUCUAAAUGGAUGGGCAUCCUGGUUUUAAAAGAAGAUGUUGCUGAGAAACCUGAGAUGAUAGAGUUGGCAGCGUCUAAGGGAGUGAAGGUUGACAAGAUGUUUCCACUUGACAGUGACAAGUGAGGGUCUAGUACACUGAGUUAGUGGGUUAGUCCGUAUGAGAGUGUUUGCAUGUGAACUGGGCCUAUUAAUAUUUUAGCGCUAAAGAUAAAUGGACCAGAAAUUGUAAAAACAAGUAUUCUUUCGAGAAGGUGGAGAUAUAUGGCAACUUAUUCCACAAAUUUGAACUUCGAUAUUGCGCAGAUACUGGUAGAUAAUAGUCCCAAAC